rnacentral:lncRNA from 1 species
UGGAGCCUGUCCAACAAGCAGCAGAUCUGCCAGGAUGCCAGUGGGACACCUAAGCCCUGACAGUAGGGGCUGCCUUAGCCAAAGCUGGUCAUUACAAAUAUGAGGUCUCCAAAGGUUGAGGGCAGAUAGGCCAGAAGGACUCUCAGCUUCCAGAGAUGAUCAGCCUACCUUACCUUCCACCAUCUUCAAAUCCAGCAGAGUAGCACCUUCAAUUCUCUUUCCAACUCUAACUCUCUCAUCUUCCUCCUUCAUUUAUGAGAACCUUGUGACUACAGAGACUCGCCCACAAAGCUCAAAAUAAUCCAGGUGCACUUUGGAGUAUGGCCAAGCUACCUCCCAGGUCAUGAGGAAGAUUCUCAGGAAGUGGGAGCUGUCAAGAAUUGUAAAUUCUCAAGGGGACCAAGAAGCUAUUAGCUCACAAGAAGAUGGCAUUCGGGUUUUCUGCGUGUUCAAGGAGAUCUGCUGUGCCUCUGGAAAGGGAUUUAUGGCUAGGGGACAACUGGCUGCUGGGCUCUGGUGGCUGCUAGUGCUGAGACCCUGAGAAGCCCAGCAUUUUCCUGCUUUCCACAAUGUCACCUCAAUUUGAAAAUACUGAGAUUUAGUUAGAUGAACGGGAAGAUAUAUUUUAUAUUCCAGUUUCUCCUCUCCUUUGAAGUUAGUUUUAUGUUGUAGGAAUUUGAAAGAGCAUUAUUUUUUUCUGGAGUGAGAUAUUAUACACAAAUAAUGAAAGUGCUCUCUCUCAUGUGGUGGAACAAUGUCAACAAUACCUCUUUUUAAGACCAUGCUAAGAAGGCCUCUUUCUAGCCAGGAAGUUGUAAAAAUAAUACCAUAAUAGGAUUAUGUGUUUGAAGGACAGUACCAUUCCUUCCUUAAUUUAAG